rnacentral:rRNA from 6 species
AACGACUCUCGGCAACGGAUAUCUCGGCUCACGCAUCGAUGAAGAACGUAGCAAAAUGCGAUACUUGGUGUGAAUUGCAGAAUCCCGUGAACCAUCGAGUUUUUGAACGCAAGUUGCGCCCGAAACCAUCCGGUUGAGGGCACGCCUGCCUGGGCGUCACGC